rnacentral:rRNA from 1 species
CUUGGUCAUUUAGAGGAAGUAAAAGUCGUAACAAGGUUUCCGUAGGGGAACCUGCGGAAGGAUCAUUAUUGAAUGAACUUGGUACGAUUGUUGCUGGCCUAUCUGGGCAUGUGCACGUCUGCCAUCUUUAUCUCUCCACCUGUGCACAUAUUGUAGGUCUGGAAUAAAUUUCUGAGGUAACUCAAUAGUGGGGAAUGCUGCUGCGAAGCGGCUUUGCCUGUAAUUUCAGAUCUAUGUUUUCAUAUACACCAUAAAAAUGUAACAGAAUGUAAUAAUGGGUCUUGUACCUAUAAACUAUAUACAACUUUCAGCAACGGAUCUCUUGGCUCUCGCAUCGGUGAAGAACGCAGCGAAAUGCGAUAAGUAAUGUGAAUUGCAGAAUUCAGUGAAUCAUCGAAUCUUUGAACGCACCUUGCGCUCCUUGGUAUUCCGAGGAGCAUGCCUGUUUGAGUGUCAUUAAAUUCUCAAUCUUAUUAGCUUUUGUUAAUAAAGACUUGGAUGUGGGGGGGAAAAUUUUUUGAAGGUUUCUCGCGAGCCUUCUCCCCUAAAAUGCAUUAGCUGGUCGCUCGCGCGAACUGUCUAUUGGUGUGAUAAUUAUCUACGCCAUUGACUAACUGCCAUAGUAGCACCGCUUCUAAUCGUCUUCGGACAAUAUAUGACAAUUUGACCUCAAAUCAGGUAGGACUACCCGCUGAACUUAAGCAUAUCAAUAAGCGGAGGA